GGACAACGCCUUUCUUCUAAUAAAAUAAGGGUUAACAAACCUCAUCCCUAGUGUAAGGUCGAACAUCUAGCUGAAGUAAGGACAUCAUCGUACAGACUACAGAUAUAAGCGGAACACAAUGAUGAAACGAGCAUUGAUAUUGAUUCUGGUCCUGUCUCUGUUGGUACAAUGUGUUGUUCCGCAGACCGCAGAGAACCGACUCCGACGUCGUAUUUUACGUAGAAGGCUUGCGAGACGUGCAUUCUUUAGGAGAGGACCAUUUGGACCCUUUUUUCCAGGAUUCUUUCCUUUUCGACCAAUAUUCCGUCCAUUUUUCCCCCGGUUUAUAAUUUAGGUUGAGAUAUAUUUGUACAUGGAUGAUCACUAUAGUGGGUUGAGAUGUCAUCUUACCAGGGUGUAACUAGAAUACUUUGGUGUUUAUCAUGAACAUGUAUUCUUUUAAAACAUUAAAAACGUUAAAGCCAUUUUUCACAUAGUGGUUUUGUAAAAUUACAACAUCGGCAUCUUCUUCAAAAUUAAACAAUACGACCAAG